GACGAACGCUGGCGGCGUGCUUAACACAUGCAAGUUGAACGGUAAGGCCCUCCGGGGUACACGAGUGGCGAACGGGUGAGUAACACGUGGGUGAUCUGCCCUGCACUUCGGGAUAAGCCUGGGAAACUGGGUCUAAUACCGGAUAGGACUCCGGACUGCAUGGUCUGGGGUGGAAAGCUUUUGCGGUGUGGGAUGGGCCCGCGGCCUAUCAGCUUGUUGGUGGGGUGAUGGCCUACCAAGGCGACGACGGGUAGCCGGCCUGAGAGGGUGACCGGCCACACUGGGACUUAGAUCCGGCCCAGACUCCUACGGGAGGCGGCAGUGGGGAAUAUUGCACAAUGGGCGCAAGCCUGAUGCAGCGGCGCCGCGUGAGGGAUGACGGCCUUCGGGUUGUAAACCUCUUUCAGCAUCGACGAAGCGAAAGUGACGGUAGGUGCAGAAGAAGGACCGGCCAACUACGUGCCAGCCGCCGCAGUAA
rnacentral:rRNA from 1 species